CAGUUGUCACUCUAUAAAUCCUUCUUACACCCCUAUCCUCAAUCCCUAAACAACUCGAAACCCUAAAAUAAGAAUCGGAAUUUGUCUCUCAUCAGAGAUGGAAGACGAAGUGAAAGCUAAACGCCCCUCAGUGGAUCCAAGCCCUUUCGCCCCAGUGUGGAAACAGGCUGGACAUGGUUGCCUUUAGGCAGCCUCCAUACAAUUACCUUGAACCAGAGAUGGAUGAGGAACAGGAAGAAGAGAUCGACGAACCAGAUUGCAUGUAUCGCAUGGAGGGAGGUCGCCUAGUUCUCGCAGGAAUUCUUCCUAAACCACCACCAUUGCCGCCAAGGAGACGGGACCAAGAUGAUGAUCAUCCUUUUGCUGUCACUUAUGAGAUGUUUUGCCCUGAAUUGAAAGGCGGAAAUGUUUACCUUAGCGAUCCUCUCUUUACAUCAAGGGUAUCCACCUUGGAGCAUCCAUACCCAUUCCUUGCAGCAUUUCCAUCAAGAUCAUGCUCUAACCUCACUGAAGAAGAAUUGAAUGCUGCAAGAGAUGCCGCUGCCGCUGCUGGAUCAUCCUCGCUGAUCAAGGGAAAUCCUGAAGCCGAUUCGUCAGCUCCUGUCGCUUCUGAUUCGUCAGCUGCUUCUGACAACAACUAAAUCUACUCGCUUGGUUUUUAAAAUGUCCUGGAGUAUGAUCACUUCGUACUUUUGACUUUUGUUCUGUUCUCGAUGGCCAUGAUAAGUAGCGUCGUACAAAGUUCAAGGUCCCAAAGCGCAUGCUACCAUGGGUGCCUGCGCAAUGCGGCGAGGAGACACGUUGCAUUCUGACACUCGUUUCUGGUAGUUUUCUUAUUCGUAUAAUAUUUAGGGUAACAUUAUUGUGGUAGAUAUAUGUCAUAAGUAUUAUACAUGUCUAGUAAUUAUUAAAUUUAGAAUUUAAAUAUCAAGUACUUUAUUAAUAAACCAUUGAUGCAAUAAAGUAACACACGACUAAGAAAAAAUAAGUCUUAAACAUAAAUAAAAGUUAUAUAAAGCAACAAACGUAUAAGGAAAUAUAAGUUUUAAAUAUAAAAAUUGAAAACUAAAAUCUCAAGUGUUAAGUACU